rnacentral:rRNA from 1 species
AGAGUUUGAUCCUAGCUCAGGAUGAACGCUGGCGGCGUGGAUAAGGCAUGCAAGUCGAAUGGGUUUAGACCCAUGGCAAACGGGGUAGUAACAGGUGGGUACGAACCAAGAAGUCAGAAAUAACUGCUCGAAAGGGCAGACAAUGUCUGAUAGUCCCUUCGGGGUAAAGCUCCGGCGCUUCUUGAUCGGCCCGCCCGAUAUCAGCUAGUUGGUAGUGUAACGGACUACCAAGGCUACGACGUCUAGGGGAGGUGAGAGCCUGACCCCCACCAUUGGCACUGCGACACGGGCCAAACUCCUACGGGAGGCUGCAGUCGAGAAUCUUCCGCAAUGAACGAAAGUUUGACGGAGCGACGCCGCGUGAUGGAUGAAGCCUUUUGGGGUGUAAACAUCUUUUGUACGUGAAGAAGUAUAUUGACAUUAGCGUAAGAAUAAGGGGCUCCUAAUCACGUGCCAGCAGGAGCGGUAACACGUGAGCCCCAAGCGUUAUCCGGAAUUAUUGGGCGUAAAGGGUGCGUAGGCGGCUUGGUUAGUCGACUGGUUAAAGUCUGGGGCUCAACCCCAGUUCUGCCAGCGAAACGGCCAAGCUAGAGAUAGUCAGAGGUACAGGGAACUCAUGGUGUAGGGGUGAAAUCCGUUGAUAUCAUGGGGAACACCAAAGGCGAAGGCACUGUACUGGGACUUUUCUGACGCUGAGGCACGAAACCCUGGGGAGCGAAGCGGAUUAGAUACCCGCGUAGUCCAGGGCGUAAACGUUGUCAACUAGCUUUUCGGGGCAUCGACCCCCUGAGAGGCGAAGCUAACGCGUUAAGUUGACCGCCUGGGUAGUACGGCCGCAAGGCUAAAACUCAAAGGAAUAGACGGGGGCUCGCACAAGCGGUGGAGCGUGUGGUUUAAUUCGACAAUAAGCGAAAAACCUCACCAAGACUAGACAUCCAGACGACGAACACCAGAAACGGUGUUUUCCUUCGGGCGGCUGGACAGGUGUUGCAUGGCUGUCGUCAGUUCGUGGCUUGAGCUGUUCCCUUAAGUGGGGAAACGAACGCAACCCUCAUCGUGUGUUACAAGUGUCACACGAGACUGCCUACCAUACUGUUUAUUUGACAUAGAUUUCUUGCGAAAUCUAUUAGCCCAG